rnacentral:rRNA from 1 species
ACCUGUGAUAAAAUAAUCUUGGAUGUCUCUAUCUUGUCAGAUUCCAUAACCUAAGCAGGGAUGGGCCUAGAUACUACCUGGAUGGGAGACUGCCUGGGGAUUGCAGGUGUUGUAGUCU